AGGGUUUGAUCCUGGCUCAGGACGAACGCUGGCGGCACGCCUAACACAUGCAAGUCGAACGAAGUAGCAAUACUUAGUGGCAGACGGGUGAGUAACAUGUGGGUAUCUGCCCUUUGGCCUGGAAUAACACGAGGAAACUUGUGCUAAUACCGGAUAAGUCUUUACGGAGAAAGCUUUAUGCACCAUUGGAUGAGCCCGCACUUGAUUAGUUUGUUGGUGGGGUAAUGGCCUACCAAGACUGUGAUCAAUAGCUGAUUUGAGAGGAUGAUCAGCCACAUUGGGACUGAGACACGGCCCAAACUCCUACGGGAGGCAGCAGUGGGGAAUCUUGCACAAUGGAGGAAACUCUGAUGCAGCGAUGCCGCGUGAGUGAAGAAGGCCCUUGGGUUGUAAAGCUCUUUCGUCGGGGAAGAAAAUGACUGUACCCGAAUAAGAAGGUCCGGCUAACUUCGUGCCAGCAGCCGCGGUAAUACGAAGGGACCUAGCGUAGUUCGGAAUUACUGGGCUUAAAGAGUUCGUAGGUGGUUGAAAAAGUUAGUGGUGAAAUCCCAGAGCUUAACUCUGGAACUGCCAUUAAAACUUUUCAGCUAGAGUAUGAUAGAGGAAAGUAGAAUUUCUAGUGUAGAGGUGAAAUUCGUAGAUAUUAGAAAGAAUACCAAUUGCGAAGGCAGCUUUCUGGAUCAUUACUGACACUGAGGAACGAAAGCAUGGGUAGCGAAGAGGAUUAGAUACCCUCGUAGUCCAUGCCGUAAACGAUGUGUGUUAGACGUUGGAAAUUUAUUUUCAGUGUCGCAGCGAAAGCGAUAAACACACCGCCUGGGGAGUACGACCGCAAGGUUAAAACUCAAAUGAAUUGACGGGGACCCGCACAAGUAGUGGAGCAUGUGGUUUAAUUCGAAGAUACGCGCAGAACCUUACCAACACUUGACAUGUUCGUCGCGACUCUAAGAGAUUAGAGUUUUCGGUUCGGCCGGACGAAACACAGGUGCUGCAUGGCUGUCGUCAGCUCGUGUCGUGAGAUGUUGGGUUAAGUCCCGCAACGAGCGCAACCCUCACUUUUAGUUGCCAUCAUUAAGUUGGGCACUCUGAAAGAACUGCCAGUGAUAAGCUGGAGGAAGGUGGGGAUGACGUCAAGUCCUCAUGGCCCUUACGUGUUGGGCUACACACGUGCUACAAUGGCACUUACAGUGGGAAGCUAAGACGCGAGUCCAAGCUAAUCCCUAAAAUGUGCCUCAGUUCGGAUUGCACUCUGUAACUCGAGUGCAUGAAGCUGGAAUUACUAGUAAUCGCGGAUCAGCGCGCCGCGGUGAAUACGUUCCCGGGUCUUGUACACACCGCCCGUCACACCAUGGAAGUUGGUUACACCUUAAGGCAAAUCGUCAACCUUCGGGAGACAUUUGACUACGGUACGAUCAGCAACUGGGGUGAAGUCGUAACAAGGUAGCCGUA
rnacentral:rRNA from 1 species